UACGUAGGGGGCAAGCGUUGUCCGGAUUUAUUGGGCGUAAAGAGCGUGUAGGCGGCCUGGUAGGUCAGUUGUGAAAACUCGAGGCUCAACCUCGAGAUGUCGGCGGAAACCACUUGGCUAGAGUCCGGAAGAGGAGAGUGGAAUUCCCGGUGUAGCGGUGAAAUGCGCAGAUAUCGGGAAGAACACCUAUGGCGAAGGCAGCUCUCUGGGACGGUACUGACGCUGAGACGCGAAAGCGUGGGGAGCGAACAGG
rnacentral:rRNA from 1 species